rnacentral:rRNA from 1 species
AGAGCGGCGGACGGGUGAGUAACACGUGGACAAUCUCGCCCCCCGGCCCGGGAUAGCCCAGGGAAACCUGGAUUAAUACCGGAUGAGACGGGACCCGCGAUGGCGGGAUCCGGGAAAGGCGCUGCGGCGCCGCCGGGGGAUGAGUCUGCCGUCCCAUUAGCUAGACGGCGGGGUAACGGCCCACCGUGGCGACGAUGGGUAGCCGGCCUGAGAGGGUGGACGGCCACAUUGGAACUGAGACACGGUCCAGACUCCUACGGGAGGCAGCAGCUAAGAAUCUUCCGCAAGUGGGACGAAAGCCUGACGGAGCGAACCGCCGCGUGAACGAAGAAGGCCGUGGAGGUUAGUAAAGUUCGUUUUCGGGAGGGGGAACAACCGUGGCAGGGAAUGGCCGCGGGAUGACGUGAAUCCCGGAAUAAGCCCCGGCUAACUACGUGCCAGCCGCCGC